AUUGAACGCUGGCGGCAGGCUUAACACAUGCAAGUCGAGCGGAGAUGAGGUGCUUGCACCUUAUCUUAGCGGCGGACGGGUGAGUAAUGCUUAGGAAUCUGCCUAUUAGUGGGGGACAACAUUCCGAAAGGGAUGCUAAUACCGCAUACGUCCUACGGGAGAAAGCAGGGGAUCUUCGGACCUUGCGCUAAUAGAUGAGUCUAAGUCGGAUUAGCUAGUUGGUGGGGUAAAGGCCUACCAAGGCGACGAUCUGUAGCGGGUCUGAGAGGAUGAUCCGCCACACUGGGACUGAGACACGGCCCAGACUCCUACGGGAGGCAGCAGUGGGGAAUAUUGGACAAUGGGGGGAACCCUGAUCCAGCCAUGCCGCGUGUGUGAAGAAGGCCUUAUGGUUGUAAAGCACUUUAAGCGAGGAGGAGGCUACUGAGACUAAUACUCUUGGAUAGUGGACGUUACUCGCAGAAUAAGCACCGGCUAACUCUGUGCCAGCCGCCGCCGUAAUAC
rnacentral:rRNA from 1 species